GACGAACGCUGGCGGCGCGCUUAGCACAUGCAAGUCGAGCGAGAACCAUGGCUUCGGCCAUGGGGACAGCGGCGAACGGGUGAGUAACACGUGGGCAAUCUGCCCUCGGCACUGGGAUAGCCCGGGGAAACCCGGAUUAAUACCGGAUAGCCUCUCGAGCUCACGGGCUCGUGAGAAAAGAUGGCUUCGGCUUUCGGCUGAGGAGGAGCCUGCGGCGGAUAGCUUGUUGGCGGGGUAACGGCCCACCAAGGCGACGAUCUGUAGCUGGUCUGAGAGGACGAUCAGCCACACUGGGACUGAGACACGGCCCAGACUCCUACGGGAGGCAGCAGUGGGGGAUCUUGCGCAAUGGGCGAAAGCCUGACGCAGCGACGCCGCGUGA
rnacentral:rRNA from 1 species